rnacentral:rRNA from 1 species
ACUCAAAGGAAUUGACGGGGGCCCGCACAAGCGGUGGAGCAUGUGGUUCAAUUCGAAGCAACGCGCAGAACCUUACCAACCUUUGACAUGUCUCGUUUGGGCACCAGAGAUGGAGUCCUUCAGUUCGGCUGGCGAGAACACAGGUGCUGCAUGGCUGUCGUCAGCUCGUGUCGUGAGAUGUUGGGUUAAGUCCCGCAACGAGCGCAACCCUCGCCCUUAGUUGCCAUCAUUCAGUUGGGCACUCUAAGGGGACUGCCGGUGAUAAGCCGCGAGGAAGGUGGGGAUGACGUCAAGUCCUCAUGGCCCUUACAGGUUGGGCUACACACGUGCUACAAUGGCGGUGACAAUGGGAUGCGACGGGGUAACCCUGAGCAAAUCUCAAAAAGCCGUCUCAGUUCGGAUUGUGCUCUGCAACUCGAGCACAUGAAGUUGGAAUCGCUAGUAAUCGUGGAUCAGAACGCCACGGUGAAUACGUUCCCGGGCCUUGUACACACCGCCCGU